rnacentral:rRNA from 1 species
GACGGAGGAUGCAAGCGUUAUCCGGAAUGAUUGGGCGUAAAGCGUCCGCAGGUGGCAGUUCAAGUCUGCUGUCAAAGACCGGGGCUUAACUUCGGAAAGGCAGUGGAAACUGAACAGCUAGAGUAUGGUAGGGGCAGAGGGAAUUCCUGGUGUAGCGGUGAAAUGCGUAGAUAUCAGGAGGAAUACCGGUGGCGAAAGCGACUCUCUGGACGGCAACUGACGCUGAGGCACGAAAGCGUGGGGAGCAAACAGG